UUACAUUGAACAUGGCUGGUCUUGAGC
rnacentral:sRNA from 1 species